rnacentral:lncRNA from 1 species
GAUGCGCAGCACGAGAGCAAAGGGCGGUUACCCAACGGCCUUCGCUCUCAUGGCGUCCUCCUUGAUGUUACCUAAAAAUAAAACCAAGGGUGAUUAGAAGGUAAUCACCUCCUGGUCAUGCUCCCACUGGUCACCGGUGUCCGCGGGGCGACCCCACAUUGUGACCAGAGCAGGCCUGUGGCUGCGCUCAAAGGCGGGAUCGUUCAUAGCUUUCCUAGCGGGGGCCCUGCGGGACACCCAGGCUGCGCUCCUUUCCCUUGCUCACCUGGACCUGAAGUGAUGGGGGAGGUGUAACAAUGCAGUGGGAAUGCCAAAGUGUGUCUCAGCCGUGCCUUUCACAUUCCAAACAAUUCAAAAGCUUGAAGAAAACCUCAGCAGUUGAAACCGUGAUGCAGUUCAGCAAAGAAGUAGCUCCUGUCCUGGUAAAACAGUGAAGUUCUCAUGGACGACCUCAUUGAGAUUUAAACCUCAGACACAGGGAGCUGACCUAUUCACCUUAGAAUCCUCUGGGGCACCCAUUACAGUGUCUGUACCAAGGAGGCAACAAAGAACGGCAGAACAGACUGGAGCAGAAGGACAACCCAGCAGAGCCAAGCCAAAUCACUGACCCUCAGAGGCCUGAUGUGAAUGCUUCUGGCUUCAGUCCAUUGGAUUCUGCAGUAAUCUGCCGAUCUACAGUAUUACCACAGUAAAUAACCGAUAGACCUGAAAACGAAUGCAUGCCUCGUGCCAAAAUUGCAGGAAACCUCACCAGCAGAAACAAUUUUAUAUGAGGGAAUGUACUCUCUCCUUUGCAUUUUUCCUCAAAUCUAUAUUUUUAGCCCCUCACUUGUCUCUACAGAGCCUCAGUUGCUUAAUCUAAUUGCUGACUGAACAUCUCCAGGAAACUGUGUGUGUCAACGGAGGAUAGAUGUUUUCUCCUAUUAUACUGUGAAGGAAUGGGUGGAA